rnacentral:rRNA from 1 species
UACAACUUUCAACAACGGAUCUCUUGGCUCUCGCAUCGAUGAAGAACGCAGCGAAAUGCGAUAAGUAAUGUGAAUUGCAGAAUUCAGUGAAUCAUCGAAUCUUUGAACGCACCUUGCGCCCCUUGGUAUUCCGGGGGGCAUGCCUGUUUGAGUGUC